UUAAAAAAGUGAUGUAUUUACGAUUGUUUUCGACACAAUUUUAGGAAAAAAUCCUUUCUAUUUAUUAAUCUAUUUUAAUUUGUUAAA
rnacentral:tRNA from 1 species